ensembl:lncRNA
UUAUAUAUAUUAUGAAAAAAAAAAAAAAAAAAAAAAAUAUGCAUAAAAUGAGGGUUUCAUGUUAAUCUAAUAGUUUAAAUAUAAUGAACUAUUAGGAAAAUUUAUAAUAUUUUAUUUUUAAGUUUUUGUAUUUUAAAUAAUUGUUAUAAUUAUAUUAAACCAAGGUGGUAUAUUGUGUUAUACACCUUUACCAUGUCGAUUUGACAAGAAUCGAAUCGUUUAUUUUGUUUUAUUUUUUUUAUUUUGCAAUAUAAAGAAACGAAAACAUUAUAACAUAAAAAAAAAAAAAAUAUAUAUAUAUAUAUAGUAUGAUAAUAUUAUAAUAAUAAUAAAAUAAUUGAAAAUAUUAUGCAUAUAAGUGCCUAUGCAUAUAUAUAUAAAUAUAUGUAUAUGUAUGUAUUUUUUUAUGUGAUACUAUAAUGGAGGAAAAGCAAACAGAUAUAAAUGAAAAGAAGUUUUUAGAAUUGGAAAUUAAAAGAGAAAAUGUAUAUGAUGAUAAGGAAAAUAACGAGGGUUAUGAAAACCAAGAUGGUAAUAAUUAUGAUGAAAAAAAAAAAAAAGAUAAAGAUGAUAGUGAUGAAUUAUCAAAAGAUGGUAACACAAAUUUAGACGUCGGAAAAUAUGAUAAAAACAUUAUUAAUGAAAAAAGAACUGUAUAUAUUAAAAAAGAAGCACAAGAGGAAAAAGGUAGUUAUUUUAAUGGUAAAAAAUGCGAUACUUCCCAAACGAAUAGAACUAGUAAAAACAAUAAAAAUGGAGUUGAGACGUUAAAUAAGAUAAAUAAUGUACAUUUUUUUAAAAUACAAAAUGGUAAAAAUACAGAGAAGAAUUGUGAUAGUAAAAAUAUUUUAAAAAAACCAAGACGUUUAAGUGGUCGUUUAAAAAAAGUCAAAUCCAAAUUGAAAUCCAAAUCGAAUAGCACACAUGAAGAUUUUUCGCCAUGUAUUCAUGAUAAUACUUUAUUAAAAGUAAAUAAUAAAAUUAGUAAAAAAAGUAAUUUGGAAAAAACCAAUAAAAAAUCAUAUAUGUCUAUAUUAGUAAAUGAACAAAAAAAAAAAUAUAUAAGUAGAAGUAGUAUAUGUACAGACAAUGAACCUUUUUUAAUUUAUUUACGUGAAAAAGAAAAAAAAAAAUUUUAUUUUAAAAGUGGUAAAAAAACCAUGAACAAAAAAAAAAUAAGAUUAAAACUUAGAGAUAUAAAUACUUUAAAUGAUAAAUAUUCUAAUAAUACGAAAGAAUCGUUAAACUCUUAUAUAU